UCCCCCCCCCCCCGCUCCCCUCCGCUCCCGCUCCCGCCGUGCCCUGGAGAUGCUGUCGGAGCUGCGCCGCCGCCUUCCCCCCCCCUCCCCAGGAAGCGACCCACGGCGCCAGAUCCCACGGAGAUCGUCCCCGGGGUAAGCUGGGCGCGGCCGCUCUUCUGCCUCUCCCGCGGCCAUCGGCGACUGCAGGCAGGGGAAGCGACAGGUGAUGAAGCUUAUGGAAAAAAGACAAAAUGCCUCGGGGUGAGUACAUUCUACCGAGUUUUGCUUCUCUGGGAUCGGUUUGGGAAAAUCCUGUGAAAUUCUAAAAAGCUUCUCUCCGUGUUUUCUAGUUGUUUUUUCAGCCUUGGUCUAAGUUUCAUGUAGAAAAGGGCACAGAAUUAGAACAGGUAAACUAGACUUUCUCGGGAGAGAUGGAAGAAAAGUCUGCUGAUUCCGGUUCUGCUUUUCUUGUCUUCUAUUAGACUGUCAUUUUCUCUCCCCUGCUGUUCAAAUAGGCAGCAAUUAAUUGCUCUGCUGAAGAGUUUGCUGUACUAAGUGUCUGUCAAAUCGAUGCCUUCAACUCAAGGUAGCACCUGCUCCUUAGUUACAAAACGUUCCUCACAGGAGAUUUUCAGGCGUGCCCAUAAAUCUCCUCGCUGUUUGUUUGGGAGAACAGGGUUUUCUCGUCUGUAACAGAAUAGUCAUGGCAUUUGCUAUGGAAUGCUGGUGGCAAUCUAGUCAGAAGAGGACCCCGUGCUUCACUAAUUUUCCCUUUUUGUUGUUCGGGGUGACUUCUUCCCAGGGAUGUUAUUCUUGACCCCCCGGGGCAAACGGAGGUGUCAGCGUCAGGAGCCAUCCUAACUGAGGCCCUGGUAGGCUCCCUCUUUCCCUUCGGUUGCCGUGGAUGUGCCGGACACCUCUGGCAGGACUAACCCUGUGGCUUUUAUGUCCAACGUGCUGUGUGCCUGCAGGUAAGAAAAGCUGGGAGUGCAGUCCCUCUGCUUUGCUUGCUGUGUCUCUUGGGUAGUGAUUUUGGAGGGGAAUCCCAGAGCGAUUUGGUUUGAAGGGGACCUUCAAAGGCCACCCUGCCUUCCG